rnacentral:rRNA from 1 species
UACGAAGGGGGCUAGCGUUGUUCGGAAUUACUGGGCGUAAAGCGCACGUAGGCGGACUAUUAAGUCAGGGGUGAAAUCCCGGGGCUCAACCCCGGAACUGCCUUUGAUACUGGUAGUCUCGAGUCCGGAAGAGGUGAGUGGAAUUCCGAGUGUAGAGGUGAAAUUCGUAGAUAUUCGGAGGAACACCAGUGGCGAAGGCGCUCACUGGUCCGGUAUUGACGCUGAGGCGCGAAAGCCAGGGGAGCAAAGCGGG